rnacentral:misc_RNA from 1 species
CUGAGUACUACACUCUCUACCCUUUGUGAACUAUUAUACCUGUUGCUUCGGCGGCGCCCGCGAGGGUGCCCGCCGGUCUCAUCAGGAUCUCUGUUUUCGAACCCGACGAUACUUCUGAGUGUUCUUAGCGAACUGUCA